UUUUUUUUGAAGUUCUAGUCCAAACUUGUGUUCAAUUUCCGUUGAUAAGAUUGAUCGAGUUCCUUUCAAAUGUUAUUGUGGAUAAAAGCUAUACUUUAGCGGCAGUUUUUUCUCAGUUUGUGGAUUAAAGUGGUGAUUGCUUGGGGGUACGUGACAGUGAUAAGUUUUUCUUUUGCUGGUUUAUCAGGCUUUUGACUUCAUUUUCCGAUGGACGCUCCUGAUAUUUUGGUACCAUUUCUCGCUGCAGCUCAUUUAUUUUACUAGUUAUUAAUAUGCCUUUAUCUUCUGUGCCCUAGUUUUUAUAUGUUAUAUCCAUUUACUCAUGAAAAAUGAAAAUAAUGUAACCACGUCUGAAACCGACCCUAACGCCCUUACCUUUACUCAAACUGAACUUGUUUUACCUCUAUCUCAUCCAUUCUAUCUUCAUCCUUCUGAUAAUCCUGGUACUAUUAUCGUGACCAAACAAUUUAAUGGGGACUAUUUUGGAGCAUGGAGAAAAGGCAUUAUUAUUGCCUUGGGGGCACAGAAGAAGUUAGGAUUCAUUAAUGGGAGUUAUGUUCAGAUUCUCUUUUAUUUGAACAGUGGGAACAAUGCAAUAACAUGAUCAAUAGCUGGAUCCAUAAUUCUUUAGACCCGUAUAUUUCACAGAGUGUCAUAUGUUCCAAGUCUGCUAAUAGUCCAUGGGAUGAAUUGAAGUAGAAGUAUGGGCAAGAAAAUGGUGCUAGGAUGUAUGAAGUCCUUUACCAAAUGGUGCUAGGAUUUAUGAAGUUCAAAAGGACUUGAGUUCUAUAUCUAAAGGUUCUCCUAAUGUGGGUGGUUAUUUCAAUAAGGUAAACAAACUCUGGGAUGAAAUGGAGUCUUUUGAAGCUAACUCUUUUUUUGUAUGUGAAUAUAAAUAUGGAGGUAAACACAAAAUGAUUAUAAAGAUGAAAAAUCAGAAAUUGAUGCAAUUUUUGAUGGGUUUGAAUUAGGUAUUCAACAAAGCUAGAGGAAAUAUUAUGAUGAUACAACCACUUCCUGAAGUUAGCAAGGCUUAUUCUCUAGUUGUUCAAGAUGAGAAGCAGAGAGGGAUUCAUAAUGUAACUGAUUUUCAGUAUAACUUUGAAACCUUUUCUGCUGGAUCUAAUCGUCCCACUUAUAAUCCAAAACCACCUCAAACCACCAAUUUUACACAGAAAUAUACUUUUAACAAUCCAAAUCCUAACAAUCAGGGUUUCAACAAUCAAAAGGGAGGCUAUGAUCCAAAAGGCUCUAUUGCAAAUAUUGUAAAAAGAGUGGACAUGUAAUUGAGAAGUGCUACAGGUUGCAUAGGUUUCCACAACCUUAUAAAUCAGGGAACAAGAAUGUCCGAGUUGCUGCACCUGUUCAUACUUCUCAUGAUUCUAAGCCUGAUCAUUCUCUUGAGAAAUGAAUAUUGCAAAUACCAUCACACCUAAUUAGUACAGGAAACUUAUGAAUAUCCUUCAACAUGUUCAAGUUGGUCCUGAUGAUUCUCAAAGUCACUCUGCCACAACUAACUUUGCAAGUAUAUUUGCUUUCUCUUCUUAUCUGAUGAGUUGUGGUACUUGUACUUGUUUAAGUAGAGUUCUAACUCCUGAAACCUGGAUUCUAGAGUAUCAGAUCAUAUGAACUUUAACAAAUUUUUGUAUACAAAUAUAACAACGCUACAUGUUCCCUAUCUUAUUACAUUACCCAAUGGGUAUAAAGUAAAAGUGAUCUCAAUUGGUUCUGUCCAAUUAAAUCCUUCAGCCGCUGUAUCCAAGGUUUAUAUGUGCCUACUUUUAAAUACAAUCUUAUUUCAGUUCACAAGUUAUUAGUUAAUACUUCAUCACUGAUGUUUUUUCACAAUAUGUUUGUUUUCUAUAGGGCUCUUCUUUGAAGAUGCCAUUGGUACCUAGUAAGAUGACUAAAGGGCUCUAUCUGUACAACUCAAGAUCACAAUCUCCAGUCACACAUUCUAGACCUCCAUCAACUUGUCCUUCCACUCGUUUAAUUCCUUUUCUAUUCAUGCAAAUGCAUUAAAUGUAAAUAAG
rnacentral:lncRNA from 1 species